GGCGCCACUGUUUUUCUUUCCAAGAAAAGGACAGAAACUAGACGUUGACCCCAUCAUUUGCCCCAAGAAAAUGUCAGCAAAUGAGCUUGCAUCUGUCAUCUGUGUGGGUAUAAGUAGUGGAUUAGUUGAGCCAUGGAGGUUCAGGUAAGAUAAGAUAGCAGUAGGGGUACAUGGAGAGAAAAAGAAAGGAGAUGGAGAAGGCCAAGUCUGGGCUGAGGCUGACCAUGGAGGAGCUCUGUUUAUGCAGUCCAGGAGAUGGGGAGGAGGAGAUGCAGGUGCAGGUGCAGGUGAAAGUGCAGGAGCAGCCAAGGUCUUCCACCAUGGACCUCCUCUCUGUCUCCAAGCAGCUCCUCCAUGUCCUUGAUGAGAUUGGACCAACGUUGCUAGUCCUGAGGCAAGACAUUCAGCAAAACGUUCAGAGAUUACAAGAUCUGCAUGAAAGAGAUUCUUCCAAAUAUGCGAGCUUGAUGGCGAUCGUUACAGAGGAAGUGGAGCAAGGGACAGCAAAGAAGACCAAAAGCUGCACCAGAGCUAUCAUCUGGCUGUCUAGGUCGAUAAGCUUCUCAAAAUAUUUACUGGAGAAGCUUCUGAAAGCCCCAGAAUCGAGCCUGGAAGAGAUUGUGGAAGAAGCCUAUGCAAAAACUCUAAAGCCAUGGCAUGGUUGGAUCUCAUCAGCUGCUUACAAGUUGCCAGGUAGCAACGAAGCUCAUCCCAGAAAGAGAAGUUCUCAUAGCGCUGCUGAUGGGUAACUGUCAAGACUUUGAAGAUCUUGCAGAAGAUGCGAAGAUGUUGACCCAUGCUGUCCAGCCGCUGUUGGAGGAGAUCGAUGCAAUUUCGGCUAAGCACAACAUGGACAAGCUGAAAUCCUCGUAGGACACAAGCUGAAAUUCUGCUGAUGUACAUAGCUGCAUAACCGUACCUAACGUCGUGCUUGUAAUAGUGAAAGGCCUUAUAUUGUGGUGUUCUCUUGUAGAUUGCAAGUGAUAAUUUGAAUGUGCAAAAUGCCUUGAGUGUAUUCCUGCACUUGUAGUUUUAGUAGAUAUACAUGACCAUGAUCAGGCUCGAGUUCUUUUUUGGCUCGUAUCACAUGUUUUCUUCAGAAUUCAAAACUACCUAGUUCUUUUUUCCUAGCUAGACAAUUAAUUGUGCUUUUAUC